rnacentral:rRNA from 1 species
UCCGUAGGAUGCAAUCGUUGUCCGGAUUUAUUGGGUUUAAAGGGUGCGUAGGCGGCCUAUUAAGUUAGUGGUGAAAACGUUCGGCUUAACCGGAUACCCGCCAUUGAUACUGAUAGACUUGAGUGCGACAGAGGGUGUUGGAAUGUGUGGUGUAGCGGUGAAAUGCUUAGAUAUCACGCAGAACACCAAUUGCGAAGGCAGAUGCCUAUGUCGUAACUGACGCGGAGGCACGAAAGCGUGGGGAGCAAACAGG